ensembl:lncRNA
GAAAACAGAACUAAAACAGAUCAGUACCUCACUGUCAGACGCUGAAAGUUGAAUAAGGCGCGCGCUGCUCAACGUCCAACGUACCUUGCGUGAUGACGUAAACAAAGCCAUAUUUGUCUCAGGAGGCGUGGCCACAUUGAACCACGAAGUAAUCGGUCCAAAGCCUGAACAGCAACAGGCUAAACUACAAAUCGGGUUUGACUGUCUCAGAAGACAAAGGAGGGUCAUCAUUGUAUUUAUGUUUUCCUGUAGAUAUCUAGUCACAGGAACGUGGAUGUCUUCGUAUUUUGCAGCCUCCCUCCCCCCUUAUUCCACUGCGUGAGCGAAUCUCAGCGUUAUUUUCUGAGGAAAAAGAAAAGACUGCAGCUCCAGUCCAGCCUCGAGAGCUGGACUCUGUAACAGGUCCAGAAGUCGGAGACUUGAGAGACUUGUAGCACUUGAAGCCUACAGAGAAGAUGGGAACAGUCCUGUGGAAACAGUAACCAGAGAUGUAGAGGAAGGAAGGACAGAGCAGCCUAGAGGUAACAUGGUAGAAGUUCUCAAACCUUAUUGGAAUCUUCAAUUAUCAUUCAAUAUGACAUUAGUGAACAAUGUGAUUUUAUAAUUCUAUCAAACAUACAAAACACCUUAAUGUGAUUCACUCUUCAACUGGGUUGCUGUGGGCUGCAGAUGAUGCACCAGCCACACUUUCAGAUACGGACCUGGCGAAAAUUGACCCCUGUGCUAAAGAUUUGGCCCUUUAUGUGCCUCACUACGGGUCUCUCAUAGCAACGUCAAGUCAAUGAAGUGCAAUAGAAAGUGAAGAAGACGGCAUAUUAAACAGUGCAAUAAACAAGACAGCAGGCAAUUUCAGUUCAAAUGAAAUUAUUCUGGACAUAAAUAGGCAAGCAAGACAGUAACAAGAUGAGAACAAGACACAUGACAGCUUGGCUGAGAUUGAGACGUUGUUUCCUUUGGUAUUUUUGCUUUUUCUCUGCUGUUACUCAAAGGUUACAGCAUUCUUUCAAAUCUUCAAGUUUGUGCAUUUAAAUAAGAAACGAUUUGUUAGGGAAUAUAGUGAAACUUCUAGUAACCAAUAGUCACA